GCGGCAGAGGAUCAUAGAAAGGCGCCACGGUGGCGUAGACAGGCCCCGCGACGCCGCCGGAUGUGUCCUUGGCGCAAGGGAGGCUGGGAGCGUGGAGGACCGAGCGCGGACUGGACUGAGAGCUGCCGGCGCCCUGCGCAAGGUUAGGCCGCGAGUGGAAUAGCCGGGGGAACCCGGGCAUCACGGCGCUCCUCGGCCUCCUGCGGCUGCGUUUCAAAGCAGAGCCGACACUUGAUCACCAUCUUUGACAAGCUAUACCUACUAAAAGAUGUGAAGCAGACACCUAUAUUCCAUGACUCAAUUGUAAAGAGAUCAGAAAGCUCCAGUCAUCGGAGAAAAAAUAAAACUGCUAUUAAAAUUGAA